rnacentral:misc_RNA from 1 species
ACUCCAUGCAUGCCCAAUAAGACUACGGCCCUGAUUGGGAUGAUAAAACCCUUUACUUCUCUUUCCGCUUAUUAUUUCAAGCAUUAAAAUACCAAAACUAAAUACAUCAGAUUUUACAGAGAAUAAGCCAUCAGUAGCAUAUUCUGGUGCCAUAUAACCAUAUGUUCCAACCACUUUGUUUGUGCUUCCUUCAGUUUGAUCGCCUCCAAAAGUUCUAGCCAUGCCAAAAUCUGAAAUUUUU